GAUGAACGCUGGCGGCGUGCCUAAUACAUGCAAGUCGAGCGAACAGAUAAGGAGCUUGCUCCUUUGACGUUAGCGGCGGACGGGUGAGUAACACGUGGGUAACCUACCUAUAAGACUGGGAUAACUCCGGGAAACCGGGGCUAAUGCCGGAUAACAUUUCGAACCGCAUGGUUCUAAAGUGAAAGAUGGUUUUGCUAUCACUUAUAGAUUGACCCGCGCCGUAUUAGCUAGUUGGUAAGGUAACGGCUUACCAAGGCAACGAUACGUAGCCGACCUGAGAGGGUGAUCGGACACACUGGAACUGAGACACGGUCCAGACUCCUACGGGAGGCAGCAGUAGGGAAUCUUCCGCAAUGGGCGAAAGCCUGACGGAGCAACGCCGCGUGAGUGAUGAAGGUCUUCGGAUCGUAAAACUCUGUUAUUAGGGAAGAACAAAUGUGUAAGUAACUGUGCACAUCUUGACGGUACCUAAUCAGAAAGCCACGGCUAACUACGUG
rnacentral:rRNA from 1 species